UUGGAAGUGAUGAUUAUUUCCCCAGAUGAUCGAAUCUGAUUAUACUAUGCGCUAUUUUUAUAUUCUCCUUUUAUGGAGAAUCCAAGCCAGAAAUCUGAUCCAU